GAUGAACGCUAGCGGCAGGCUUAAUACAUGCAAGUCGAGGGGCAGCAUGAUUGUAGCAAUACAAUUGAUGGCGACCGGCAAACGGGUGCGGAACACGUACACAACCUCCCAAUAAGUGGGGAAUAGCCCAGAGAAAUUUGGAUUAAUACCCCGUAACAUAACGAUGUGGCAUCACAUUGUUAUUAUAGAUUUUUCGCUUAUUGAUGGGUGUGCGGCUGAUUAGAUAGUUGGCGGGGUAACGGCCCACCAAGUCUACGAUCAGUAGCUGAUGUGAGAGCAUGAUCAGCAACACGGGCACUGAGACACGGGCCCGACUCCUACGGGAGGCAGCAGUAAGGAAUAUUGGACAAUGGACGCAAGUCUGAUCCAGCCAUGCCGCGUGAAGGAUUAAGGUCCUCUGGAUUGUAAACUUCUUUUAUAAGGGACGAAAAAAGGCUUUUCUAAGUCGUCUGACGGUACCUUAUGAAUAAGCACCGGCUAACUCCGUGCCAGCAGCCGCCGCUGUAA
rnacentral:rRNA from 1 species